CUUCAGAGACCAUAUAUUUAUCUACAACGACACUUCUCACUACAUUUUUUUCUAUGCCAUCUUCAAGACUUUGCACUACUCUGAGCCUGUGCUUCAGUCGUAGACGCUCGAUUCCUCCUAUUGUCAGAGUGCCGUACCUCGAAAAUAUGAAACCUACCCUAUUUGGCACCGAACUAUCGACGGGCCUCGGUAAAAUCGGACCUUCGUCAUUGAAAACCCCUCCGAGAUAAUCAGUUAGCAGCUGCAUAGCUUCCCCAUCAUCACGGCAGUUCAAUAAUUUGUCGUGAUUCCAUUCCAAAACAGUUAACGCUAUCUGACAGAGAAAGCCUGGCGUGCAGUGCCGGUAAAUGUUCAGCAGCUAACUCCUCCAAGAGACCUUGGUCGACUAGGGCACCAACAACUCGGCGGUCAUAGUAAUCAGGGAGUAGAGAUUCGCAUACAUUGCAUAGUUGCCAAAAAGCUGCCUCUUCAGAACAAUAAAUGAGGAGAACAGAAGCGACAAUAUUCAUAGCUUGGCAAUACCCUAGAAAAUUAUUCGCGUUCAAGAGAAACUGAGAAGAACACUGGCCCAAUAAAUUUAAUGUUUAAUCUUUACCGAUCUGAGGAUUUCUCCAGGCAUACGCAGACAGAACUCGCCUGAGAGCACUGAUACCAGUGUCGGAUUGAAAGGCGGGGUGUUCUGGCAAAGAACGGUGCAAAUCUCUUUCUAUCUCCUCAUUUGCUUGGCACGAUUUUCCAAGCGACUGAUCGACGAGAGAUUUGUAUAAGCCAGAAUUCAUCGUCAUCUCGUUUAUAGCACCUACCAUACGCAUAACAUAUAGAAUGUGGAUGGAGGGGAACUUGAAAAAAAGUCAACUCACCAGAAAAUCUUCUUGGCUCAGAGGUGCUUUGAAUAAAGUCAUCAAAGGUGGUUGCGGUGACCAUUCUAAAGGUUCCACCUCUUCGUAGUUGCUCAAAUCGCUUGUUACACUGUUGUGGAAAGUCAGCUGCUCUGUGCUAAGAAUAUUAAAAGAUUCUAAUGUAACAUAAAAAUCAUAAAAACUUUGAACCAACAGAAAGUGGUUACUGAGAAUCAACUCACAGAUGGGAUAUUUUAGUCUUAGCCAAUAGUUCUGAUAUUUUUUGCACAACAAAAUCUCUGUCGUGAAUUUGUGCAAAUAAAAAUGAUGAUCUUGACGUCGUUACAAGGACAGAUUUGUCUACAGCUGCGUUUGAAGCUUGAUUUUCGGCGCAUUCGACUAAUCGUACUUCGCGCAAAGGAAUUACAAGAGUAACCAUGCGACGAACCUGAAUUGGCAUACGGACAUGAAAUUAUCAAUUACUUGAAAGCCAGGUAAACCAUUUAACAAUGUUUGGGCAUUCACCAAACCAUACUCACUCUACUUUCGAAGCAAAGGUAAUUCUGAGACAAAUAUAUUUUCCCCCAAACGUGUCUUUUAUUGUAAGGAGUCCACAAAGUCGCAUCAAUGCUACCGUCUAACUUCUCAUUGCCCGGCAACCUGAAUUGCAGCCUAUAGACUUCAGAGUGGGCUCGUGCAUCAAGGUCUCUCUUCAAAAAUGAGGGUUUUUUAGGCACGUUUUUGCUGUGAACAAACGUGUAUCUGUUUCUGUAUCAAGUAUGUCGCAUCUUUGAUAAUCUCAAUUUGAAUAGAAUAAUAUACCUUAAUUUAUUUAGGAGAUCUCUAUCUUCAUUGAAACCACUUUUUUCAUCAAUUAAUCUGAAAUAGGAGCAUUCAUUAGAAAUGUUCAUUAUGAAAAUUGAGUAAAUGUGGCAAAGCUAUUGGGUAUCUCAUAUCACCUUUUCAUAGCAAUAUUUGUAAGCUGUUCCAUUAAUGAAAAAGUGUCCGAUUUAUGGAGGAACAUGGAAAAGUAAUGCUGCAAUGCAUAAAUGUCGAUUGUUACCAUAAGAAUGUUGUCAACCUAAUUCUAGAAAUUCAAUAUAUUCAAUGUACCUCUU